rnacentral:rRNA from 1 species
UACGGAGGGUGCGAACGUUAAUCGGAAUCACUGGGCGUAAAGCGCGCGUAGGCGGUUCGUUAAGUGGGAUGUGAAAUCCCCCGGGCUUAACCUGGGAAUUGCAUUUCAAACUGGCCGACUAGAGUACGGUAGAGGGAGGUAGAAUUUCCUGUGUAGCGGUGAAAUGCGUAGAUAUAGGAAGGAAUACCAGUGCGAAGGCGGCCUCCUGGGAUAACACUGACG